UGUGCUUGGCGCUCGAUGGAAACGCUUACAGCUCGAAUCUAUCUGCUGUGCUGAGUUCGCCACUUAAGGUGAAGAUCGUACAGCUGAUUUGCUCGCGAUCGCGGUUCCCAUAUCUACUCGAUUGUGACGGUACUGUUGCGGGUUAUUCAGAACAAAUAGAUACUAUUUGCUGCCAUUAUAGUCGCGGCUUAUUGUGAUUCUUGAUAACAAUAGAAAGGAGUGUCGCGUAUGUGCAUUAUCUGGUGCAAUAAACCGGCGAAGAUGACCGCUAUCUCUCAAAGGUUCUUGGCCGCUCCGCGUUCAAAGUAUCUAAAUUAUUCAGAGUAUCUUUCGGCCACUAACCGGCGUUCCGUGGUUCUUAAGUGCUCUCGACAGUAGCAAAAACUCGUUUCCGCAGUACAGCAUGCUUGCUAAAGACGAGGGUCUAUCACUGAUCGAUCAUCACCAAUGACGUCACAAAGUAUCUGUGUUCUGCAUACUCAUUGCUUUCCCCAUAUGUGUAUUACGUUCAGAUCGUCACUCGGCACGUCGAAUGAGCGUUAAAGUUUCGCGUUUAUUAUCGCCUUUAAUGUAUCUACGAACAAGCACGGUUGCUUUAAAGAAUGCCAAAGGCUGUAUGGAUUCGAAAUCAAUUUUUCCGUAGAUUGUUGUGAGUUUGUUUACUCAUUUAUGCGUCGUCUGUGACUACUUUAUCAUUCUUAUCUGCCAAGUGAUUAAGUAAGUUCGGGCCCGGCUUUUUGACAAAUUUCUUCAGAUACUUUUAUGUGUUAAAAGCUGAAUGAUUAUAGUGAAAUGUAAUUCUUUGCGACAGGUUCAUGGAAUCUUCAGUUGUUCUCAGCCAUUCAGUGCUAAAUGUUGUAUGCGAAAUUCGAUCAGUUGGGAAUGUGGAUUUGUGAAUUCGGGAAAUUAAAAGGAAUGGAAAUUGUGUGAAAACUGCACAUGACGCGUUUGUGCUGAAAUUUCCACAUGAAUUUUGAUUUUAAUUAAUGAAGCAUCUAAAUUGGCCGCGGCUAGUGAGUGUGAACGGUUUAAUCUAUCUUGACCGCGGAAAGUGUUCGAUUUACUUUUAAAUUAAGGUCCUACAUAGACGGCCUUUUUUCAGUGCGAGAUUGGCUACAUACUCGAUUGUGAAGGUGCCUCCAAAGGCCCACAUAUUUUCUGCUGUAAUAAAUCACCGAAAUUAGUUUUGUCCAGCGCUCUCCUGUUUGAGAUAAAUAUUUGAGCUGCGAGGCCAUCUCGGUUGCAAGUCUUGGUUGUCAUCUCUACGCGCAGGAGGUGCCCUUCCUCCCAGCCCAUACAUAUCAACGUCAUAUCAUUUCGUUUCGCCGCUGGGUUCAGCCAAACCCAAAUAAAAAACCCACGGAAAAUACUCAAUGUUCAUGUAGCAUUUAUCAGAGGAACUCCAACUGCAUACUCAUAUAUAUUUAUUAAAUUGCAGUAUUCCAUCUAAAUUCACGCGAAACAAGCACCAUCGGCGCAAAUACAGCUAAGAUAACGAUUAUCUCCAGAAGCCUAGAAGUGAUAAAGGAAAGCUCAAUUUCACUGCAUUUCUCCUCUGGCCAAUUAUUUAAAUAGGCAAUUGUAGAAAAAAAAAA